rnacentral:rRNA from 3 species
CAUCCUCCAAGGCUAAAUACUCCUGACUGACCGAUAGUGAACCAGUACCGUGAGGGAAAGGCGAAAAGAACCCCGGCGAGGGGAGUGAAAAAGAACCUGAAACCGUGUACGUACAAGCAGUGGGAGCCCCACCACUAAGCCAGUGGUGAACUCCACAUACGCAUCCUUUGCUGAGGAUACGGUUAACGGAGCGAAAGCGACGUUCAACCUCAAAAGAAGCAGAGGGGGCUUAGUGGUGGGGUGACUGCGUACCUUUUGUAUAAUGGGUCAGCGACUUAUAUUCUGUAGCAAGGUUAACCGUAUAGGGGAGCCGGAGGGAAACCGAGUCUUAAUUGGGCGUUAAGUUGCAGGGUAUAGACCCGAAACC